rnacentral:rRNA from 1 species
UACGUAGGUGGCAAGCGUUGUCCGGAGUUAUUGGGCGUAAAGCGCGCGCAGGCGGUGCGGUAAGUCUCUGGUGAAAGCGCUCGGCUUAACUGGGCGAGGGCCGGGGAGACUGCCACGCUGGAGGGGAGCAGAGGCGAGUGGAAUUCCGGGUGUAGUGGUGAAAUGCGUAGAGAUCCGGAGGAACACCAGUGGCGAAGGCGGUCUGCUGGGCCAAGACUGACGCUGAGGCGCGACAGCGGUGGGGAGCAAACAGGA